AUGUUGGGAGGUCAGCCCAAGGCUACACCUUCAGUUACUGUGUUCCCACCUUCCGCUGAGGAGCUCCAGACCACCAGAGCCACAGUGGUGUGUAUGAUCAAUGAAUUCUACCCAGGUGUUGUGGAUGUGUCCUGGGAGGCAGAUGGCACACCUAUUACCAAGGGUGUGGAGACUACCCAGCCUUCCAAACAGAGCAACGACAAGUACAUGGCUGUCAGCUACCUGUCCUUGACAGAAGAAGAGUGGAGAUCUAAAAAUGUUUACAAGUGCAAGGCUGUUCAUGAAGGGAACACUGUGGAGAAGAGCUUGUGCCCUA